AUGAACGCUAGCUACAGGCUUAACACAUGCCCGUCGAGGGGCAGCAUGGUCUUAGCUUGCUAAGGCCGAUGGCGACCGGCGCACGGGUGAGUAACACGUAUCCAACCUGCCGUCUACUCUUGGACAGCCUUCUGAAAGGAAGAUUAAUACAAGAUGGCAUCAUGAGUCCGCAUGUUCACAUGAUUAAAGGUAUUCCGGUAGACGAUGGGGAUGCGUUCCAUUAGAUAGUAGGCGGGGUAACGGCCCACCUAGUCUUCGAUGGAUAGGGGUUCUGAGAGGAAGGUCCCCCACAUUGGAACUGAGACACGGUCCAAACUCCUACGGGAGGCAGCAGUGAGGAAUAUUGGUCAAUGGGCGAGAGCCUGAACCAGCCAAGUAGCGUGAAGGACGACUGCCCUAUGGGUUGUAAACUUCUUUUAUAAAGGAAUAAAGUCGGGUAUGGAUACCCGUUUGCAUGUACUUUAUGAAUAAGGAUCGGCUAACUCCGUG
rnacentral:rRNA from 1 species